AUGGUAGAAACCUUAGCUCUUAAAUUUGGCCUAAAUUUAGCGCAAAGGGCGGGAUAUAAUCGCCUAAUCAUCAACUCUAACAAUCUUGAGGUGAUUGAGACCAUGCGGGACGGAGGACAUUCAGCGGGAGCGACGGCGGCAAUCUUCGAUGACUGCUAUCACUAUGCUUGUGAUUUUAUCAUGACUAAAUUCGAACAUUGUAAUAGAGAGGCAAAUAAAGUAGCACAUGAACUUGCUAGAUUAGCUAGAUUUUUUUUGACUUCGGAUUGGUUUGAGGAGCCUAUUAGUGAAAUUGUAACGCUUCUCACUAUUGGUUAUUGCUAA
rnacentral:rRNA from 1 species